rnacentral:rRNA from 1 species
UACGAAGGGUGCAAACGUUGCUCGGAAUUACUGGGCGUAAAGCGUGCGCAGGCGGCUUUGCAAGACAGAUGUGAAAUCCCCGGGCUCAACCUGGGAACUGCAUUUGUGACUGCAUGGCUAGAGUGCGGCAGAGGGGGAUGGAAUUCCGCGUGUAGCAGUGAAAUGCGUAGAUAUGCGGAGGAACACCGAUGGCGAAGGCAAUCCCCUGGGCCUGCACUGACGCUCAUGCACGAAAGCGUGGGGAGCAAACAGG